rnacentral:rRNA from 1 species
AUGAACGCCGGCGGUGUGCCUAAUACAUGCAAGUCGAACGCGUUGGCCCAAUUGAUUGAUGGUGCUUGCACCUGAUUGAUUUUGGUCGCCAACGAGUGGCGGACGGGUGAGUAACACGUAGGUAACCUGCCCAGAAGCGGGGGACAACAUUUGGAAACAGAUGCUAAUACCGCAUAACAGCGUUGUUCGCAUGAACAACGCUUAAAAGAUGGCUUCUCGCUAUCACUUCUGGAUGGACCUGCGGUGCAUUAGCUUGUUGGUGGGGUAACGGCCUACCAAGGCGAUGAUGCAUAGCCGAGUUGAGAGACUGAUCGGCCACAAUGGGACUGAGACACGGCCCAUACUCCUACGGGAGGCAGCAGUAGGGAAUCUUCCACAAUGGGCGCAAGCCUGAUGGAGCAACACCGCGUGAGUGAAGAAGGGUUUCGGCUCGUAAAGCUCUGUUGUUAAAGAAGAACACGUAUGAGAGUAACUGUUCAUACGUUGACGGUAUUUAACCAGAAAGUCACGGCUAACUACGUGCCAGCAGCCGCGGUAAUACGUAGGUGGCAAGCGUUAUCCGGAUUUAUUGGGCGUAAAGAGAGUGCAGGCGGUUUUCUAAGUCUGAUGUGAAAGCCUUCGGCUUAACCGGAGAAGUGCAUCGGAAACUGGAUAACUUGAGUGCAGAAGAGGGUAGUGGAACUCCAUGUGUAGCGGUGGAAUGCGUAGAUAUAUGGAAGAACACCAGUGGCGAAGGCGGCUACCUGGUCUGCAACUGACGCUGAGACUCGAAAGCAUGGGUAGCGAACAGGAUUAGAUACCCUGGUAGUCCAUGCCGUAAACGAUGAGUGCUAGGUGUUGGAGGGUUUCCGCCCUUCAGUGCCGGAGCUAACGCAUUAAGCACUCCGCCUGGGGAGUACGACCGCAAGGUUGAAACUCAAAGGAAUUGACGGGGGCCCGCACAAGCGGUGGAGCAUGUGGUUUAAUUCGAAGCUACGCGAAGAACCUUACCAGGUCUUGACAUCUUGCGCCAACCCUAGAGAUAGGGCGUUUCCUUCGGGAACGCAAUGACAGGUGGUGCAUGGUCGUCGUCAGCUCGUGUCGUGAGAUGUUGGGUUAAGUCCCGCAACGAGCGCAACCCUUGUUACUAGUUGCCAGCAUUAAGUUGGGCACUCUAGUGAGACUGCCGGUGACAAACCGGAGGAAGGUGGGGACGACGUCAGAUCAUCAUGCCCCUUAUGACCUGGGCUACACACGUGCUACAAUGGACGGUACAACGAGUCGCGAACUCGCGAGGGCAAGCAAAUCUCUUAAAACCGUUCUCAGUUCGGACUGCAGGCUGCAACUCGCCUGCACGA